rnacentral:siRNA from 1 species
UACAUCAUAUAUUCGUCAGGGUCC